rnacentral:rRNA from 1 species
GAUGAACGCUGGCGGCGUGCCUAACACAUGCAAGUCGAACGAAGCAAUUGAAGGAAGUUUUCGGAUGGAAUUCGAUUGACUGAGUGGCGGACGGGUGAGUAACGCGUGGAUAACCUGCCUCACACUGGGGGAUAACAGUUAGAAAUGACUGCUAAUACCGCAUAAGCGCACAGUACCGCAUGGUACAGUGUGAAAAACUCCGGUGGUGUGAGAUGGAUCCGCGUCUGAUUAGCCAGUUGGCGGGUAACGCCACCAAAGCGACGAUCAGUAGCCGACCUGAGAGGGUGACCGGCCACAUUGGGACUGAGACACGGCCCAAACUCCUACGGGAGGCAGCAGUGGGGAAUAUUGCACAAUGGGGCGAAAGCCUGAUGCAGCGACGCCGCGUGAGUGAAGAAGUAUUU